UGCCAAUAUAUUACACAACUUGAGGAGGACCAACCAUUCACUUACUCCUAAAUUAUUGCCACUGCCACUCAAGCCAGUGGAUCCCGAUUUUAGCAGGUCCAUUAUGAAACAACGUUUUCUGCUGCUCAUCAUCCAGAAUGGCAGGUGCAUUAUAUAGCACAAGAUCAUGGGCCUAAAUUUCUGGAGGAAACUUGCAAGAGGAGUGGAGAUCAUGGGCCUAAAUUUCUGGAACAAAACCACCUGCAGAAAACUGCAAAUAACCUCCAUUAGAGUGGUUAUUUUUGGGAGUUUAAAGGGCUGAGAUUUAAUCUCAGCAUGAUCCGACGGUCAAGAUGGAUUUCAAAGUUAACUCCCACUUAAUGGGUUCCAUAUAUAUAUAUAAUAUGAAGAAAAAGAA